rnacentral:rRNA from 1 species
UGUCUCAGUUCACACCCUCGCACGGUGAAACCGCGAAUGGCUCAUUAAAUCAGUCGAGGUUCCUUAGAUGAUCCAUUUCUACUUGGAUAACUGUGGCAAUUCUAGAGCUAAUACAUGCGGACCAGCUCCGACCCGGUGUCGCAGCCGGGAAAGAGCGCUUUUAUUAGUUCAAAACCAGUCGGCGGGUCCGCCCUUCGCGGGGUGGCCGGCCGUCCCCUUUUGGUGACUCUGGAUAACUUUGUGCCGAUCGCAUGGCCUCGAGCCGGCGACGCAUCUUUCAAAUGUCUGCCCUAUCAAAUGUCGAUGGUACGCGAUAGGCCUACCAUGUUGACUACGGGUGACGGGGAAUCGGGGUUCGAUUCCGGAG